ACUCCUACGGGAGGCAGCAGUGGGGAAUAUUGCACAAUGGGCGCAAGCCUGAUGCAGCCAUGCCGCGUGUAUGAAGAAGGCCUUCGGGUUGUAAAGUACUUUCAGCAGUGAGGAAGGUGGGUAUGUUAAUAGCAUAUUCAUUUGACGUUAGCUGCAGAAGAAGCACCGGCUAACUCCGUGCCAGCAGCCGCGGUAAUACGGAGGGUGCGAGCGUUAAUCGGAAUUACUGGGCGUAAAGCGCAUGCAGGUGGUUUGUUAAGUCAGAUGUGAAAGCCCGGGGCUCAACCUCGGAAUUGCAUUUGAAACUGGCAAACUAGAGUACUGUAGAGGGGGGUAGAAUUUCAGGUGUAGCGGUGAAAUGCGUAGAGAUCUGAAGGAUACCGGUGGCGAAGGCGGCCCCCUGGACAGAUACUGACACUCAGAUGCGAAAGCUGGGGAGCAAACAGGAUUAGAUACCCUGGUAGGCUCU
rnacentral:rRNA from 1 species